rnacentral:rRNA from 1 species
GACGAACGCUGGCGGCGUGCUUAACACAUGCAAGUCGAACGGAGAGAGCAGAGCUUGCUCUUCUGCACGAGUGGCGAACGGGUGAGUAACACGUGAGUAACCUGCCCUAGACUUUGGGAUAACUGCUGGAAACUGGGGCUAAUACCGGAUAGGAGCUCCUGCUGCAUGGCUAGUGUUUGAAAGGUUCGUCGGUCGGGGAUGGACUCGCGGCCUAUCAGCUUGUUGGUGAGGUAGCGGCUCACCAAGGCAACGACGGGUAGCCGGCCUGAGAGGGCGACCGGCCACACUGGGACUGAGACACGGCCCAGACUCCUACGGGGGGCAGCAGUGGGGAAUAUUGCACAAUGGGCGGAAGCCUGAUGCAGCGACGCCGCGUGAGGGAUGACGGCCUUCGGGUUGUAAACCUCUUUCAGCAGGGAAGAAGCGAAAGUGACGGUACCUGCAGAAGAAGCACCGGCUAACUACGUG